rnacentral:tRNA from 1 species
GGUGGUUCAGUGGUAGAACACCUGCCUUGCAUGCAGGAGGCCCUGGAUUCGAUUCCUCAGCACCA